CUGAUAGUAUUUAGCCAGGAGGGCACACAUGGGAAUUUAUAAAUCUAAUGAAAGUACACAGCUUUCUCAAUUUAGAUUUUAUAUUUAAAUUCAUAAUUUUCUUAAACAUAAUUAUAUUUGGACGAUUUACAUAUUUUUUAUCAAUACAUUCGUUUCUUUUUACUGACAUCUCUGUGCACAUCAUAAUAUAAUGAUACUCAUCUCCAAGAUCUUUAGAGUUGCAUAAUUUACAAAUUCGUCUAUCUCUCUGAAUAUUUGUCCAUCUCCCUAUCUCGAUGGGUAAUUUAUGGUUGAUGGUUCUAAAUUUGCAUAACGUAUAAAUAUCACGAAAUUCUAAAAUAUCAAAAUAGUUCUCAAACCCAAAAGUAUCCUUAAAAAUUCGAUAAUUUAAUGUCUUCGAGCAUGCUUGCACAUUUGAAAACCAUGUUUGUUGAAACUGAUCUUGGAGUGAUGUUCUGAUUGUAUUCUUUAGCCAAAUG
rnacentral:lncRNA from 1 species